UCCCAGGUAGCUCAGUGGUAGAGCGGUCGGCUGUUAACCGAUUGGUCGUAGGUUCGAAUCCUAUCCGGGGAG
rnacentral:tRNA from 3 species